AAACAAUUUUUUUUUUAUCAAUUUCAUGUAAUAUUUAUCAAUUUGACAAGAUUUUACAAAAUAAAUAAUCUAGAUCGUGUUCUGUAGCAUCUGCGCUGCAUUGUUAAAACUAUCUUUUAGAUCUAACUGUAAUUAUUUCCCACAUCCAAGUUCCAGGUUAUAAUAUGCAAGUGUAAACAUUAACCUCUUAAUUUUACAAUGAGUAGUGAAAUGUUUACCCUACAGUUUGUUGUCUGUCUGUGUCUCUGUAAUUAUAUUUUUCAUGGUCAUUGUAGAGUAUCAUCUGGUAAGUCAACAUAAGAUGAGACGUGUAGGAAGAAAAUAAUAAUACUAAUAAUAGUCAAGUUUGUUAUUAUGGCUAAAUAUUUGCUCUGAAUAUAUAUGUGUAAUGAUAAUGUAAUAAUAAUAUCAUAACUCUCGGAGUGAUUGGCAUGGUAAUGUACAUAACAUUGUUAAUAUAUUUUGUACUGCUGCUUCAAAUAUAACAUACACAAAAUAACCCCCAUAUAGCAUACAUGAUUCACCUCGAAGCAGAUCUAUACAGGUGGAGCUGGGGAAGGUGGAGGGUUUCUGAAGCUGCAAUUGCUACGGCAAGCACUAGUCAUUUAUUGAAUGUUGAGCAGUGAGCUCAUUGGCUACCGAUACAGGAGAGAACCAAUCAGCUGUGCCAUGUGAUAAUGAUGUCAUUAGGUCAGAUUGAGUUAGACCUAUCGGACUGCGCCAUCUAGAGUUUCAUGCCAGAACUCUGUAUUUGUUGUUUGAUAUGACUUUGAGAUUUGGAAGAACAUUAGCUUGUGUUUAGGUGAAUUUCUUGAUGAAGCGCAGUUUGAGAUAAGCGAUGAUGAGGAAGAUGAGGGUCAUGAUUCCCAGAGCCAAAUGAUUCUGCCACAAAUCCCAGGUUGAGUAAUGGAUGCCCUGUUCACUCAGAAAGUCCUCACCUUUCGUGCAG